rnacentral:rRNA from 1 species
UACGUAGGGCGCAAGCGUUAUCCGGAAUUAUUGGGCGUAAAGAGCUCGUAGGCGGUUUGUCGCGUCUGCCGUGAAAGUCCGGGGCUCAACUCCGGAUCUGCAGUCGAUACGAGCAAACUAGAGUGUUGCAGGGGAGACUGGAAUUCCUGGUGUAGCGGUGAAAUGCGCAGAUAUCAGGAGGAACACCGGUGGCGAAGGCGGGUCUCUGGGCCGAUACUGACGCUGAGGAGCGAAAGCGUGGGGAGCGAACAGG